rnacentral:lncRNA from 1 species
UUUAAAAGUGUAAUUGAUGGGGAGAGGAAUCAGAACAGAAUCUACAAAGCUGAAUUAAUAUAGAGGUUCUCUGAUCAGUUAUAGUUAUUUCUUUCAUUCAGCAUGUUCAACAAAAAACAAACCCAGACUUAGGAGAGACUUUGCUCAAAAGGACUUUAUUCAAGGGGAGAAAGGGGCUGUUGCAACAGGGAGAAGGCUCUGAGUAUAAGGCCUGCAAGUGUGUCAGGAGUUAGGCAGGAGGAGUUUUUCUUUUAUGGAGAGGAGUAAACAAGGCUAGAAAGAACCAGGUGUGGGGAAGUGGGGUGAAAGGUGGCAGGAUUGGAUCAUAAAUCCAAAAUGGUUCCACCUCUUCUCAAGAGGGACUGGAUGCUGGCUCGGGCCACGGGGCGCCAAAGUUCAUUCAGGGGCCUGGAGGAGGGAGAGAGGCUUCUUGGAAGUUUGGUUAACAAGCAUUCUGUUCCAAUUGAUCAGUGGGGACCAGAGGCUCUGCUAAUCAUUUAUGAGGCAAAGAAAGGGAAUUUAGAGGGUCUGCAUCUGGCCUUGUUAUAAGUAAACAAGGCGGGCGUCCAUGAGUCUUGUCUAAGUCAUUUGGGGAAGGAAAGGUGGUUCUUUGUAAUGUCAUUUUCUAGAACCCAAAAAGAGUGGGGGCUGGAGGGUAGUCCUUAACCUUCACUGUUUUCCAGGAGCACAGGGCUUGGGUAAAGUUCAACACUGUCAAGCUUACAUCUAUGGAUCUCCUUCCGUGUGUCCAGCCCUGGCGAGUGAAGUGAUGUGAUGGCUACAGCACAUGCAGUCAUCUUGGACCAUGAGGCAACAUUGACCAUAGAAUCCAUGUGCUAAGGAUGGCAAAGCAGAAAAAUGGAAAGAAAGGCCACGUGAGGACGCAGUGCGAAGGUGGCCAUCUGCAAGCCAGGAAGAGAGCCCUUACCAGAAUCUGAACCCUGACCUGGCACUUUCAGGCUCCAGAACUGUGAGAAUCUACAAUUAUUUGGACACUUAUCGCUUGACAAAGGAUAUCCAGACAGCAUCUCAGGACGUCUGAGACACCCACGCGACUAUACAUCGGAAGGCGGACGGACUUUCCUCCGGGAGGAUGUGGAAAUAGGUGAAAACUCUCCGACCCCGACGGGCAGCCUAGUACCCGCAAGUGGCUUUCUUCCAACGGACGCCCCCAGAGGAUCCACACACAUCUAGGGCAGGAGCGAGAACACAACAGAGGAGC